AACGAACGCUGGCGGCAUGCCUAACACAUGCAAGUCGAACGAGACCUUCGGGUCUAGUGGCGCACGGGUGCGUAACGCGUGGGAACCUGCCUUUAGGUUCGGAAUAACUCAGAGAAAUUUGAGCUAAUACCGGAUGAUGUCUUCGGACCAAAGAUUUAUCGCCUUUAGAUGGGCCCGCGUUGGAUUAGCUAGUUGGUGGGGUAAAGGCCUACCAAGGCGACGAUCCAUAGCUGGUCUGAGAGGAUGAUCAGCCACACUGGGACUGAGACACGGCCCAGACAAAAAGGGGAGGAGGAAGGGGGAAAAAGGGAAAAAGGGGGGAAAGCGGAAACAAGAAAGGCGGGGGGAGAAAGAAGGCCGUGGGGGUGGAAAAGCUUUUUAACCGGAGAGAAAAAUAAAAGUAUGGGGAAAAAAAGCCCGGGAAAACCCGGGG
rnacentral:rRNA from 1 species